rnacentral:lncRNA from 1 species
CCGCCUACUCCGGCGGGCACGCGCCGCGCAUGCUCCCACCACUGCCUGUCCUGAGGCGUCGCGUGCCGCCCCCCCUUAGCUCCCGGAAGGCCGAGCGGCAUCGGGCGGCGCGGCCAUCGCCGCCCAUUUCUCAUCCCACUGCAGCCCCUCAGCCCGACCAAGCCCCCUGCGGAGGCCGGGAGGACGGCGAGGCCCGCGCGCCGAGCGGCGGCGUCGCCGUGGUGAUGACGUGUCC